ACUUCCGUUAAUUGAUUAUGACGUGCUUGCACUGAAUGAGAUUUUAACACGAAGUGAGUGGCGGACGGGUGAGUAACACGUGGGUAACCUGCCCAGAAGCAGGGGAUAACACCUGGAAACAGAUGCUAAUACCGUAUAACAGAGAAAACCGCCUGGUUUUCUUUUAAAAGAUGGCUCUGCUAUCACUUCUGGAUGGACCCGCGGCGCAUUAGCUAGUUGGUGAGGUAACGGCUCACCAAGGCGAUGAUGCGUAGCCGACCUGAGAGGGUAAUCGGCCACAUUGGGACUGAGACACGGCCCAGACUCCUACGGGAGGCAGCAGUAGGGAAUCUUCCACAAUGGACGCAAGUCUGAUGGAGCAACGCCGCGUGAGUGAAGAAGGGUUUCGGCUCGUAAAGCUCUGUUGUUAAAGAAGAACGUGGGUGAGAGUAACUGUUCACCCAGUGACGGUAUUUAACCAGAAAGCCACGGCUAACUACGUGCCAGCAGCCGCGGUAAUACGUAGGUGGCAAGCGUUAUCCGGAUUUAUUGGGCGUAAAGCGAGCGCAGGCGGUCUUUUAAGUCUAAUGUGAAAGCCUUCGGCUCAACCGAAGAAGUGCAUUGGAAACUGGGAGACUUGAGUGCAGAAGAGGACAGUGGAACUCCAUGUGUAGCGGUGAAAUGCGUAGAUAUAUGGAAGAACACCAGUGGCGAAGGCGGCUGUCUGGUCUGUAACUGACGCUGAGGCUCGAAAGCAUGGGUAGCGAACAGGAUUAGAUACCCUGGUAGUCCAUGCCGUAAACGAUGAUUACUAAGUGUUGGAGGGUUUCCGCCCUUCAGUGCUGCAGCUAACGCAUUAAGUAAUCCGCCUGGGGAGUACGACCGCAAGGUUGAAACUCAAAAGAAUUGACGGGGGCCCGCACAAGCGGUGGAGCAUGUGGUUUAAUUCGAAGCUACGCGAAGAACCUUACCAGGUCUUGACAUCUUCUGCCAACCUAAGAGAUUAGGCGUUCCCUUCGGGGACAGAAUGACAGGUGGUGCAUGGUUGUCGUCAGCUCGUGUCGUGAGAUGUUGGGUUAAGUCCCGCAACGAGCGCAACCCUUAUUACUAGUUGCCAGCAUUCAGUUGGGCACUCUAGUGAGACUGCCGGUGACAAACCGGAGGAAGGUGGGGACGACGUCAAAUCAUCAUGCCCCUUAUGACCUGGGCUACACACGUGCUACAAUGGAUGGUACAACGAGUCGCGAAACCGCGAGGUUUAGCUAAUCUCUUAAAACCAUUCUCAGUUCGGACUGUAGGCUGCAACUCGCCUACACGAAGUCGGAAUCGCUAGUAAUCGCGGAUCAGCAUGCCGCGGUGAAUACGUUCCCGGGCCUUGUACACACCGCCCGUCACACCAUGAGAGUUUGUAACACCCAAAGCCGGUGG
rnacentral:rRNA from 1 species